rnacentral:rRNA from 1 species
AUUGAACGCUGGCGGCAGGCCUAACACAUGCAAGUCGAGCGGUGGCACAGAGAGCUUGCUCUCGGGUGACGAGCGGCGGACGGGUGAGUAAUGUCUGGGAAACUGCCUGAUGGAGGGGGAUAACUACUGGAAACGGUAGCUAAUACCGCAUAACGUCGCAAGACCAAAGAGGGGGACCUUCGGGCCUCUUGCCAUCAGAUGUGCCCAGAUGGGAUUAGCUAGUAGGUGGGGUAACGGCUCACCUAGGCGACGAUCCCUAGCUGGUCUGAGAGGAUGACCAGCCACACUGGAACUGAGACACGGUCCAGACUCCUACGGGAGGCAGCAGUGGGGAAUAUUGCACAAUGGGCGCAAGCCUGAUGCAGCCAUGCCGCGUGUAUGAAGAAGGCCUUCGGGUUGUAAAGUACUUUCAGCGGGGAGGAAGGUGUUGAGGUUAAUAACCUCAGCAAUUGACGUCACCCGCAGAAGAAGCACCGGCUAACUCCGUGCCAGCAGCCGCCGUAA